AACGAACGCUGAUGGCGUGCCUCAUACAUGCAAGUCGAGCGAGGUCUUCGGACCUAGCGGCGAACGGGUGCGUAACACGUAAGAAACCUGCCCCCAGGUUUGGGAUAACUACUCUAACGGGUAGCUAAUACCGGAUAGGGAUGAGUGCCGCAUGGUACUUUAUCGAAAGGUCUUGAUCGCCUGGGGAUGGUCUUGCGGCUGAUUAGCUUGUUGGCGGGGUAAUGGCCCACCAAGGCAACGAUCAGUAGCCGGCCUGAGAGGGUGACCGGCCACAUUGGGACUGAGAUACGGCCCAG
rnacentral:rRNA from 1 species